rnacentral:lncRNA from 1 species
UACAGUACCCAUGCAAAGCAAACGGGAGCAUCUCAUUCCAAUCCUGUAGGUCACAACAAUCUUCUGAAUGAUCUUUUUAAUGUUCGUGUUCGCAACCUCAACAGCCCCAUUCAUCUUAGGUCUGUGUAAGACCCCAAUUUUGACCCUAAGAUCCCUCAUGCAAUUUCAUCAUAAGCAUUAACAUUGGGAUCAUGUCUUGGCAUCCU